rnacentral:rRNA from 1 species
AACGAACGCUGGCGGCAUGCCUAACACAUGCAAGUCGAACGAGACCUUCGGGUCUAGUGGCGCACGGGGGCGUAACGCGUGGGAACCUGCCCUUAAGUUCGGAAUAACUCCCCGAAAGGGGUGCUAAUACCGGAUAAUGUCUUCGGACCAAAGAUUUAUCGCCUUUGGAUGGGCCCGAGUUGGUUUAGGUAGUUGGUAGGGUAAAAGCCUACCAAGGCGACGAUCCAUAGCUGGUCUGAGAGGAGGAUCAGCCACACUGGGACUGAGACACGGCCCCGACUCCUACGGGAGGCAGGAGUGGGGAAUAUUGGACAGGGGGCGAGAGCCUGAUCCAGCGCUGCCGCGUGAGUGAUGAAGGCCUUGGGGUUGUAAAUCACUUUUAACCGGGAUGAUAAUGACAGUACCGGGAGAAGAAGCUCCGGCUAACUCCGUG